UACGUAGGGUGCAAGCGUUAAUCGGAAUUACUGGGCGUAAAGCGUGCGCAGGCGGUUUUGUAAGUCUGUCGUGAAAGCCCCGGGCUCAACCUGGGAAUUGCGAUGGAGACUGCAAGGCUUGAAUCUGGCAGAGGGGGGUAGGAAUUCCACGUGUAGCAGUGAAAUGCGUAGAGAUGUGGAGGAACACCGAUGGCGAAGGCAGCCCCCUGGGUCAAGAUUGACGCUCGAUGCACGAAAGCGUGGGGAGCAA
rnacentral:rRNA from 1 species